rnacentral:rRNA from 2 species
GCUCGUAGUUGGAUUUCGGGUGGGUUCUAGCGGUCCGCCUAUGGUGAGCACUGCUAUGGCCUUCCUUUCUGUCGGGGACCUGCUUCUGGGCUUCAUUGUCCGGGACAGGGAUUCGACGAGGUUACUUUGAGUAAAUUAGAGUGUUCAAAGCAGGCUUACGCCCUGAAUACUUUAGCAUGGAAUAACACGAUAGGACUCUGCUCUAUUGUGUUGGCCUGUAGAUGUGGAGUAAUGAUUAAGAGGGACAGUCGGGGGCAUUCGUAUUUCAUUGUCAGAGGUGAAAUUCUUGGAUUUAUGAAAGACGAACUACUGCGAAAGCAUUUGCCAAGGAUGUUUUCAUUAAUCAAGAACGAAAGUUGGGGGCUCGAAGACGAUUAGAUACCGUCGUAGUCUCAACCAUAAACGAUGCCGACUAGGGAUUGGCGGAUGUUUUUUUAAUGACUCCGCCA